GUCCCUAGAACCCUGCAGGAAUGACGUGUUUUUGUAGGGCAACCCGGAAGUUAGCAUCGCCAUGGUUCCCUCGACAAAAAAACAAUGGGAUUGUUCCAUUGGGUUUUGGAUUAAUGUGGCAAAUAAACAUUUAUGAUACUUACAAGUUUUGCUCACCAAGAU